rnacentral:rRNA from 1 species
AGGAUGAACGUUGGCGGCGUGCCUAACACAUGCAAGUCGAACGGCAAUAGCAAUAUUGGAGUGGCGCACGGGUGAGUAACACGUAGCUAAUCUACCUCAAAGCGCGGGAUAACGUGUCGAAAGACAGGCUAAUACCGCAUAAGCUCGCGAUCUGUAGAGGGUUGCGAGAAAAGGCGCAAGUCACUUUGAGAUGAGGCUGCGGCCCAUCAGCUAGUUGGGGUGGUAAAAGCACACCAAGGCAACGACGGGUAGGGGACCUGAGAGGGUGACCCCCCACACUGGGACUGAGACACGGCCCAGACUCCUACGGGAGGCAGCAGUGAGGAAUAUUGCACAAUGGGCGCAAGCCUGAUGCAGCGACGCCGCGUGGGUGAAGAGGUUUUCGGAUCGUAAAACCUUUUCUGUGUGACGAGCAAGGACGGUAGCACAGGAAUAAGUCUCGGCUAACUACGUGCCAGCAGCCG